AUGCCGUGUUAAUGGCAACGUCGAAUAAAAUCUCUAUACCUUUCCCAUUCUUCAUAGAGUGAUUCGAAAUCAUUUUGCUUGAAUUGACCAAUCUCACUCCUGAGUUG